rnacentral:rRNA from 1 species
AUUGAACGCUGGCGGCAGGCCUAACACAUGCAAGUCGAGCGAGCGGCGGACGGGUGAGUAAUGUCUGGGAAACUGCCCGAUGGAGGGGGAUAACUACUGGAAACGGUGGCUAAUACCGCAUACCAUCAGAUGUACCCAUAUGGGAUUAGCUAGUAGGUGGGGUAAUGGCUCACAUAGGCGACGAUCCCUAGCUGGUCUGAGAGGAUGAUCAGCAACACUGGAACUGAGACACGGCCCAGACGCCUACGGGAGGCAGCAGUGGGGAAUAUUGCACAAUGGGCGCAAGCCUGAUGCAGCCAUGCCGCGUGUGUGAAGAAGGCCUUCGGGUUGUAAAGUACUUUCAGCGAGGAGGCGUUACCCGCAGAAGAAGCACCGGCUAACUCCGUGCCAGCAGCCGCGGUAAUAC